rnacentral:rRNA from 1 species
GAUGAACGCUGGCGGCGUGCCUAAUACAUGCAAGUCGAGCGAACAGACGAGGAGCUUGCUCCUCUGACGUUAGCGGCGGACGGGUGAGUAACACGUGGAUAACCUACCUAUAAGACUGGGAUAACUUCGGGAAACCGGAGCUAAUACCGGAUAACAUGUUGAACCGCAUGGUUCAACAGUGAAAGACGGUUUUGCUGUCACUUAUAGAUGGAUCCGCGUCGCAUUAGCUAGUUGGUAAGGUAACGGCUUACCAAGGCAACGAUGCGUAGCCGACCUGAGAGGGUGAUUGGCCACACUGGAACUGAGACACGGUCCAGACUCCUACGGGAGGCAGCAGUAGGGAAUCUUCCGCAAUGGGCGAAAGCCUGACGGAGCAACGCCGCGUGAGUGAAGAAGGUCUUCGGAUCGUAAAACUCUGUUAUUAGGGAAGAACAAAUGUGUAAGUAACUAUGCACGUCUUGACGGUACCUAAUCAGAAAGCCACGGCUAACUACGUG